CCUUCCCCAGUCAAAUUCUCCUAGUUGGAAAACCCCCAAAUGGCACACUUCCCCACUCACUCUCAAAUUUCCAGAUUUUAUCCUAAAAAUCCUUCAUUUAUCCUUCCUUGAUUUUCUCCACAAAUUUCUCCUCAACUACCUCUCUAUGACCAGUUCAAACUCUCCACAAUAGUGUUUCAGCCCAACACUACUACCUACAC
rnacentral:lncRNA from 1 species